rnacentral:rRNA from 1 species
GACGAACGCUGGCGGCGUGCCUAAUACAUGCAAGUCGAGCGCAGGAAGCCGUCUGAACACUUCGGGGGGACGACGGUGGAAUGAGCGGCGGACGGGUGAGUAACACGUAAAGAACCUGCCCAUAGGUCUGGGAGAACCACGAGAAAUCGGGGCUAAUACCGGAUGUGUCAUCGGACCGCAUGGUCCGCUGAUGAAAGGCGCCCCGGCGUCGCGCAGGGAUGGCUUUGCGGUGCGUUAGCUAGUUGGUGGGGUAACGGCCCACCAAGGCGACGAUGCAUAGCCGACCUGAGAGGGUGAUCGGCCACACUGGGACUGAGACACGGCCCAGACUCCUACGGGAGGCAGCAGUAGGGAAUCUUCCACAAUGGACGAAAGUCUGAUGGAGCAACGCCGCGUGAACGAUGAAGGCUUUCGGGUCGUAAAGUUCUGUUGUAAGGGAAGAACAAGUGCCGCAGGCAAUGGCGGCACCUUGACGGUACCUUGCGAGAAAGCCACGGCUAACUACGUGCCAGCAGCCGCGGUAAGAC